rnacentral:rRNA from 1 species
UACAGAGGUGGCAAGCGUUGUUCGGAAUUACUGGGCGUAAAGGGCGCGUAGGCGGCCAUCUAAGUCAGACGUGAAAUCCCCCGGCUUAACCUGGGAACUGCGUCUGAUACUGGAAGGCUCGAGUUUGGGAGAGGGAUGCAGAAUUCCAGGUGUAGCGGUGAAAUGCGUAGAUAUCUGGAGGAAUACCGGUGGCGAAGGCGGUCUGCUGGGCAGUUGCUGACACUGAGGCGCGACAGCGUGGGGAGCAAACAGG